CUUGCUUUGAACCAUGGGAGAGUAGCAAAUGUAACAGAAAUAGAGACUUUGCUCUUUGGGACUUGCCUCUCUUGCUGCUCUUGGGAAUCCUAUAUCCACCACAACGUAAAUGAACCUGGACAAGCCCGGCAGGAUGGUCAUAUUCGUCCCUCACUUACCUAGUUGCUUCAGUUGACAGCCAGCCAGUCUCCACACAUAUGAGAGAGUUGAGAAUCAGGAAGAGAAGAUGACAUACCCAAGGUCACUCAUUUGGGUGAAAGGUAACUCAGAAGCCAAAGGACACUAAAAUAUUCUGAUGGAACCUAUCAUCACAAUGAAUGGCAAGCUGGUACAGUUAAGAAGCG
rnacentral:lncRNA from 1 species